rnacentral:rRNA from 1 species
AUGGGAGCGGGGAUGAAGCGCGCGAGGGAGGAGCAGCCAAUUGUGUCGCUGGCGCUCUCCCUCAGCACAGACUCUUCGACGACGUCCGCCACCACGUCGGGCAACUCGCUCGGUUCGCCGCCGCCGGCGGCAAGGAAGAGGGCGCGGCGGGGAAGAGUGGUGGCCACGUCAGGGGAAGGGGACUUCGUCUGCAAGACUUGCGGGCGCGCCUUCGAGACGUUCCAGGCCCUGGGUGGGCACCGGACCAGCCACCUCCGGGGCCGCCACGGGCUGGAGCUCGGCGUCGGCGUCGCCAUGGCCAUCAAGGAGCGGAAGAGGCAAGAGGACAAGCAGCAGCACGACUGCCACAUCUGCGGGCUGGGCUUCGAGACGGGCCAGGCGCUCGGCGGCCACAUGCGGCGGCACCGCGAGGAUAUGGCGCUCGACCGGUGGGUCGCGCUGUCGGAUCAGGAGGCGGGGCACCAGGCCGCCGCCGGCAGGCUGCCUGUCUUGCUCGAGCUGUUCGUCUAG